rnacentral:rRNA from 1 species
UACGUAGGGGGCGAGCGUUGUCCGAAUUUACUGGGCGUAAAGCGCGCGUAGGCGGUUAUUUAAGUUCGGGGUGAAAGGUUCAGCGCUCAACGCGAACAGUGCCUUGAAUACUGGAUGACUUGAGUUCGGGAGAGGGCAGUGGAAUUCCUGGUGUAGCGGUGAAAUGCGUAGAUAUCAGGAGGAACACCGAUGGCGAAGGCAGCUGCCUGGCCUAGAACUGACGCUGAGGCACGAAAGCGUGGGGAUCAAACAGG